rnacentral:rRNA from 1 species
UGAGUACGAGAUGCUACGGCAUCGAAGCAGUCUAUGUCAUACUUCCAAGAAAAGCUUGCACUGUCAUAAACAAAGAAUGCCUGUACCAUAACCGACACAGGUGGGUAGGUAGAGUAUACUAAGGGGCGCGAGAUUACUCUCUCUAAGGAACUCGGCAAAAUGACUCCGUAACUUCGGGAGAAGGAGUGCCUUAUUUCUAAGGUUGCAAUAACAAGAUCCAAGCAACUGUUUGCCAAAAACACAGGUCUCCGCUAAGUCGUAAGACGAUGUAUGGGGGCUGACGCCUGCCCAGUGCCAGAAGGUUAAAGAAGUUGGUUAGCAUUAGCGAAGCUGAUAACUGAAGCCCUGGUGAACGGCGGCCGUAACAAUAACGGUCCUAAGGUAGCGAAAUUCCUUGUCGGGUAAGUUCCGACCCGCACGAAAGGCGUAAUGAUUUGGAUACUGUCUCGGAGAGGGGCUCGGUGAAAUAGACUUGUCUGUGAAGAUGCGGACUACCUGCACCUGGACAGAAAGACCCUAUGAAGCUUUACUGUAACUUGAGAUUGAAAUUGGACUUUAUUUGCGCAGUAUAGGUGGGAGGCGUUGAGAAUAAUCUUGCGGGAUUGUUGGAGCCAUCAGUGAGAUACCACUCUUGUAAUGUUAGAUUUCUAACUUUGUAUCAUUAUCUGGUCAAAGAACAGUUUCAGGCGGGCAGUUUGACUGGGGCGGUCGCCUCCCAAAGGGUAACGGAGGCGCACAAAGGUUUCCUCUGAACGGGUAGAAAUCGUAUCUAGAGUGUAAAGGCAUAAGGAAGCUUGACUGUGAGACCUACAAGUCGAGCAGGGACGAAAGUCGGUCUUAGUGAUCUGACGGUGCUGAGUGGAAAGGCCGUCACUCAACGGAUAAAGUUACUCUAAGGAUAACAGGCUGAUCUCCCCCAAGAGUUCACAUCGACGGGGAGGUUUGGCACCUCGAUGUCGGCUCAUCGCAUCCUGGGGCGGUAGUCCGUCCCAGGGGUUGGGCUGUUCGCCCAUGAAAGCGGUACGCGAGCUGGGUUCAGAACGUCGUGAGACAGUUCGGUCCAUAUCCGGUGUAGGCGUUAGAAUAUUGAGAGGAGCCUUCUCUAGUACGAGAGGACCGAGAAGGACAUACCUCUGGUGCACCAGUUAUCGUGCCAACGGUAAACGCUGGGUAGCUAUGUAUGGAGUGGAUAACCGCUGAAAGCAUCUAAGUGGGAAGCCCACCUCAAGAUAAGUAUUCUCAC